rnacentral:rRNA from 1 species
AUCUAUGGCCAUACCACCCUGAAUAUGCCCGAUCUCAUCUGAUCUCAGAAGCUAAGCAGCGUCAGGCCUGGUUAGUACUUGGUUGGGAUACACGUGAGAUCUCUUUGUUUUAUUCUUA